UAGGGAAUCUUCCGCAAUGGACGAAAGUCUGACGGAGCAACGCCGCGUGAGUGAAGAAGGAUUUCGGUUCGUAAAACUCUGUUGUUAGGGAAGAAAAAAUGUAUAGUAACUAUAUACAAAAGAGACGGUACCUAACCAGAAAGCCACGGCUAACUACGUGCCAGCAGCCGCGGUAAUACGUAGGUGGCAAGCGUUGUCCGGAAUUAUUGGGCGUAAAGCGCGCGCAGGUGGUUUAGAAAGUCUGAUGUGAAAGCCCACGGCUCAACCGUGGAGGGUCAUUGGAAACUAAUAAACUUGAGUGCAGGAGAGAAAAGUGGAAUUCCUAGUGUAGCGGUGAAAUGCGUAGAUAUAUGGAGGAACACCGGUGGCGAAAGCGGCUCUCUGGUCUGUAACUGACGCUGAGGCUCGAAAGGGUGGGGAGCGAACAGG
rnacentral:rRNA from 1 species